rnacentral:rRNA from 1 species
UACGGAGGGGGCAAGCGUUGUUCGGAAUUACUGGGCGUAAAGGGCGCGCAGGCGGCUGCUCAAGUCAGGCGUGAAAGGCCUGGGCUCAACCCGGGAAUUGCGCUUGAGACUGGGCUGGCUUGAGUGCGGGAGAGGGAUGCGGAAUUCCAGGUGUAGCGGUGAAAUGCGUAGAUAUCUGGAGGAACACCGGUGGCGAAGGCGGCAUCCUGGACCGGUAUUGACGCUGAGGAGCGAAAGCGUGGGGAGCAAACAGG